AGUGAACGCUGGCGGUAGGCCUAACACAUGCAAGUCGAACGGCAGCACAGUAAGAGCUUGCUCUUACGGGUGGCGAGUGGCGGACGGGUGAGGAAUACAUCGGAAUCUACUUUUUCGUGGGGGAUAACGUAGGGAAACUUACGCUAAUACCGCAUACGACCUACGGGUGAAAGCAGGGGAUCUUCGGACCUUGCGCGAUUGAAUGAGCCGAUGUCGGAUUAGCUAGUUGGCGGGGUAAAGGCCCACCAAGGCGACGAUCCGUAGCUGGUCUGAGAGGAUGAUCAGCCACACUGGAACUGAGACACGGUCCAGACUCCUACGGGAGGCAGCAGUGGGGAAUAUUGGAAAAUGGGCGCAAGCCUGAUCCAGCAAUACCGCGUGGGGGAAGAAGGCCUUCGGGUUGUAAAGCCCUUUUGUGGGAAAAGAAAAGAGGCAGGUUAAUACCCCGCUGUUCUGACGGUACCCAAAGAAUAAGCACCGGCUAACUUCGUG
rnacentral:rRNA from 1 species